UACGUAGGGACCAAGCGUUGUUCGGAUUUACUGGGCGUAAAGGGCGCGUAGGCGGCAAUUCAAGUCAUCUGUGAAAUCUCCGGGCUUAACUCGGAACGGUCAGAUGAUACUGCUUUGCUCGAGUGCGGAAGGGGCAAUCGGAAUUCUUGGUGUAGCGGUGAAAUGCGUAGAUAUCUGGAGGAACACCGGUGGCGAAGGCGGCAUCCUGGACCGAAACUGACACUGAGGCGCGAAAGCCAGGGGAGCAAACGGG
rnacentral:rRNA from 1 species